AACGUGUGUGUGCCUUCAGAAAUGCAAUUAUAUGUGUUUUAAAAUGAAGCAAUUAAAAACACUAAAGAAUAUAUCGUAUACUAUCAUAUACUAUCAAUGAAUACUGUUUUCAUUGAUUGUAUUGUUCCGUCUUUGCUUUAAGUAGCUACUUUCGCCCACUGGUUUUCAGGCUAGUAACUAAGAUUAAUGUGGUUAGGCAAAAAGUGGACGUGUGAGCUUCUAUGUUUUUAUAUAUUCUUUGAUCAGAGCAUCUCUCUUUCUAUUGUUUAUACAACUUUCUAACUAAAUGGCUAACUUAUAAAUUAUAUUUCUAUGUUCGUUAAAAAAAAAUAUACUGAUAAGAAGCAAUAAAGAUAAACUUAUGAAUCUUUGUAUUCACCAAAAAUAGUAUUUAUAUUUUAUAAAUGUGUUUAUAUUAUAUGCACAAAACUGUCUAACACGGGAGACAAGGAACAAAAUCGAGCCAGCAUGCCAGAACCUGUAAAUCAUCAGGUAAAUGCAGCUCGUAAAACGUUCCAAACAUUGUAUCAAAUUUCUAAAUUACUCAAUACAAACUUAGAUCCAGCAACGUUAAGUAUUUGCGUACGGCUGUGCGAAAAUGGGGUUAACCCUUAUGCUCUUGCUACGGUAGUAAAAGAGUUGCAAAGAGAAGCAAAAGCUAUGAAUAAUGCACAAGCUGAUCCUACAAUCAGUAAAUCUAGUUUAAGUAAGUGAUUAAUCUCAUUUUACCGUUAUAUGAGUCUCACUGUUAUUAAUAUAUUAAAAUGCUCUCUAUAAAAAGAUUUGUUAUUUUCUAUACUAUAUAAUGAAAAAUAAUUUAAAUAUGAUUAACUGUUUGUGCUUAUAAGAAAUUUUGAUUGUAGAAUAGUAUGAUCUGUAUUACAUGGUUAUAACUAUGACACAUAUGUUCUUCCAAUUUCUUCCAGUAUAUUUAUUUUCAUAGUUUCCAUAUUACGUUAGAUACGAUCUAAUAAAAUGAUUGAUUUUACAUUCCAUAAAU